UACGGGGGGGGCAAGCGUUGUUCGGAAUUACUGGGCGUAAAGGGCUCGUAGGUGGCCAACUAAGUCGGACGUGAAAUCCCUCGGCUUAACCGGGGAACUGCAUCCGAUACUGGAUGGCUUGAGUUCGGGAGAGGGAUGCGGAAUUCCAGGUGUAGCGGUGAAAUGCGUAGAUAUCUGGAGGAACACCGGUGGCGAAGGCGGCAGCCUGGACCGACACUGACGCUGAGGAGCGAAAGCCAGGGGAGCAAACGGG
rnacentral:rRNA from 1 species